GCGGUCGUGGCGGAACGGCAGACGCGCUACCUUGAGGGGGUAGUAUCUUAGGAUGUGUGAGUUCAAAUCUCAUCGACCGCA
rnacentral:tRNA from 1 species